rnacentral:misc_RNA from 1 species
AACGCACAUUGCGCUUCCUGGUAUUCCGGGGAGCACGCCCGUUUCAGAAUCAUUGAAAUACCUCAUCUUGCAGCUUGGCUGUCUUUGGCCAAUGCUGCAUUGAUGAAUAUUGGGUGCUUUGCUGUACAACUUGUGUUGCAAUCAUCUUAAAUAUUUUUGUGUUUGACCCAGUAAUUUUGCUUGGGACCUGCCAAGGCGCAACAGAUGACUUGUCUUAUCUCUAACCGCAUUGGUAAAGCGAAUUACUGUUAAAGGCGCGAUCACAUCUCUAUUUUCUUUAAUUUUUAAAACAUGGUCUGAAAUCGGGCGGGAAAACCCGCUGAACUUAA